AUAAGCAUAAAUUUUGAUGCACAAUUGGACAUUUUUUACUAGUUUUCCACCCUUCUGAAGCUCUUACAGCACUUCCAGUGAUGAGGUAGUCAACUAAGGGAUAAGAACAGGCACUGCUAUUUCACUUUCUAGAGCAGCUGUAGAUUUGCCAUAUAGCAAAUGGUACACCUGGUACUGUCACCUUCUGACUUACAGUGAAUGAAUCGUUCAUCUUGCUUUAGGCACUGCAAACACAAUUUAAAUCAGUGAUCAAAUUUCUCUGUUGGAUUUUUUUUUUCUUCUUCUUCUUCUUCUUCUUCUUCUUCUUCUUCUUCUUCUUCCUAGUUAGUUCCUGCAAGCAGAUCUCUGUUGGAUUUGUAAGCCUCUUUUAUUAACUGGAUGUAAUGUUGCAAAAAAGCAAAAUGGGGAUUCAUUUUUCCCUUUGUUUCAGUUGCUUUACUUAUUAAUAGAUUUGUGCUCUCUUUUUCACCUCCCACACAAUAGGAACACCUAAUUUGGUGGCAGAAAAACAACACAACACAACACAAACUCAACAAGUUGCUGUGCCUCUUCUAGAGAAGUGGACAAAAAAGUACUCUCCUUUUGUAAGCCCUUUGAAUUCUCUUCUCCAAAACUGUGUCUACAGUAUUUCCAGGCUUCUCCAGAAGUGCUGAGGGAAGGGAGCACUCAGACUCCAACAGUGCCCCCCAUACACUUCCUUUCUGGGGGGUUCAUCGCUUAGCAAAGGCAAAAUGUAGGCAUCCUGAGCACAGCCCAGGUCAGAACAACUUUUCUUUUUCAAGAAGACAACCCCACAAUGGCCAAUCAUCAGGUGAUCCUGCAAAACUGUUUUCUCUCCACAGGAAGUGGCAGAAAAACCCCUUCAUGAUUUACACCACAAUGUCACACUGACAUCAGGACUCCGAUUAGCUAAUGGAACUGCAGUUAAAGCAACGAGUUCACACCCUCCACUGCACAAUUAGAACAUCCUUGCCAGGGGUAGCAAACAACUGAG
rnacentral:lncRNA from 1 species